CCUACGGGAGGUAGCAGUGAGGAAUAUUGGUCAAUGGACGCAAGUCUGAACCAGCCAUGCCGCGUGCAGGAAGACGGCUCUAUGAGUUGUAAACUUCUUUUGUACGAGGGUAAACGCAGAUACGCGUAUCUGUCUGAAAGUAUCGUACGAAUAAGGAUCGGCUAACUCCGUGCCAGCAGCCGCGGUAAUACGGAGGAUUCAAGCGUUAUCCGGAUUUAUUGGGUUUAAAGGGUGCGUAGGCGGUCGGAUAAGUUAGAGGUGAAAUCCCGAGGCUCAACUUCGGAAUUGCCUCUGAUACUGUUAGGCUAGAGAGUAGUUGAGGUAGGCGGAAUGUAUGGUGUAGCGGUGAAAUGCUUAGAGAUCAUACAGAACACCGAUUGCGAAGGCAGCUUACCAAGCUACUUCUGACGUUGAGGCACGAAAGCGUGGGGAGCAAACAGGAUUAGAUACCCUUGUAGUC
rnacentral:rRNA from 1 species